GGUGGCUCAGUGGUAGAGCGCUUGCCUUGUAUGUGUGAGGCCCUAGGUUCGAUUCCUCAGCACCA
rnacentral:tRNA from 1 species